UCAGAAAUACAACUCCGAGCUGUCUCACCUUCGUCAAAGACAUGGUGAGUAAGCCGUGGCUGAGCCACCGGGUUUAAAAAGAAAUUUUUAAGCCUCCCACUAUUUGGAAAGGUGUUGAUUAUGUUACUCG
rnacentral:ncRNA from 2 species